GCCGUCAUGGCGAAAUGGAUAACGCAUUGGACUCCUAAUCCAAAGAUUACGGGUUCGAGUCCCGUUGACGGUA